UGGGGAAUUUUGGACAAUGAGCGCAAGCGUGAUCCAGCCAUGCCGCGUGAGUGACGAAGGCCUUCGGGAUGUAAAGCUCUUUCAGUUGGGAAGAAACGAUUGCAACUAAUAAUUGUAAUUAAUGACGGUACCGACAGAAGAAGCACCGGCUAACUACGUGCCAGCAGCCGCGGUAAUACGUAGGGUGCGAGCGUUAAUCGGAAUUACUGGGCGUAAAGGGUGCGGCGGCGGUUAUGUAAGUCAGAUGUGAAAUCCCCGGGCUUAACCUGGGAAUGGCGUUUGAAACUGCAAGGCUAGAGUGUAGCAGAGGGGAGUGGAAUUCCGCGUGUAGCAGUGAAAUGCGUAGAUAUGCGGAGGAACACCGAUGGCGAAGGCAGCUUCCUGGGCUAUCACUGACGCUCAUGCACGAAAGCGUGGGGAGCAAACUGGAUUAGAUACCCUGGUACUCCACGCCGUAAACGAUGUCAACUAGUUGUCGGGCCUAAUUGAGGGUUUGGUAACGUAGCUAACGCGUGAAGUUGACCGCCUGGGGAGUACGAUCG
rnacentral:rRNA from 1 species